AGGACGAACGCUGGCGGCGUGCCUAAUGCAUGCAAGUCGAGCGACGAAUAGGCGCGGGUAACCAAGCCUAUUACGGAGCGGCGAACGGGUGAGUAACACGUGAGCAACCUGCCCCGAAGACCGGGAUAGCCCAGGGAAACUUGGAUUAAUACCGGAUAUCCUCCUUUGAUCGCAUGGUCGUUGGAAGAAAUGCUUUUACGCUUCGGGAUGGGCUCGCGGCCUAUCAGCUUGUUGGUGGGUAACGGCCUACCAAGGCGUCGACGGGUAGCUGGUCUGAGAGGACGAUCAGCCACACUGGGACUGAGACACGGCCCAGACUCCUACGGGAGGCAGCAGCAGGGAAUUUGCGCAAUGGGCGAAAGCCUGACGCAGCAACGCGCGUGGGGAUGAAGGCCUUCGGUUCGUAAACCCCGUUUUAGGAGGUACGAAAGUUGACGGUACCUACCGAAGAAAACGCCCCGGACCAACUACGUCGCCAGCAGCCGC
rnacentral:rRNA from 1 species